rnacentral:rRNA from 1 species
AUACGGAGGACGCGAGCGUUAUCCGGAUUCAUUGGGUUUAAAGGGUGCGCAGGCGGCCGUGCAAGUCAGCGGUGAAAGCCCGGGGCUCAACCCCGGAAGUGCCGUUGAUACUGCAUGGCUGGAAUGCGGUCGAGGCGGGCGGAACGGGGCGUGUAGCGGUGAAAUGCGUAGAUAUGCCACAGAACGCCGAUAGCGGAGGCAGCUCGCCAGGCCUGCAUUGACGCUCGGGCACGAAAGCGUGGGGAUCGAACAGGAUUAGAUGCCCUGGUAGUCCACGCCGUAAACGAUGGGCGCUCGUCGUCGGCGGCAGACAGUCGGCGGCCAAGCGAAAGCGAUAAGCGCCCCACCUGGGGAGUACGGUCGCAAGGCUGAAACUCAAAUGAAUUGGCGGGG